AACGCCUAACUUUGCAUAUGUAAUUAAAAUCCAUAAACAAGUUUUUAACUAAACGCAGCUGUUUUCUUUAAGUUUGAACAAUUUGAAAGUCUUGUAGCUUUUAUGUGCACAUUAGUUAAUUUAAACGCUAACGCUCCAACUGGCAAAACAAAGAGCUUUCGCAGAGCAAUGAAAGAGUGUGGUACCUGACUCGAGCGAGAGUGCAAGAGAGCAAACGUUUCGUCGUCAAACAAAACAAUUGCUUUCACUAUCUCCACGCUCGCAUUCGCGUUGGGCCUGCGUUGCGUUUUAAAAUAAAACUUCUGUCGGUGUGUGCCACUGUGAUUGUGCCAGUGAGUGAUGUUCCAUCGCUGCAAUAUACGAAUUAUAUAAUUUAUCCAAAAUUGCACUAAUUGAUUUUCAACAGCUGCAAAGAACCGGCAAUUUCCAAUCUCCAGAUAGCAGCGACUCCAGCCUUUGGAUAUGGCGCGUUUAAUUGAGAGCAAUUUCGUUCCGAUUGCCGUGGGCGUCGUAGCCGUCGUUGCCGGCGCCUUGAUUCUCCACUAUUUCAUCAACAAGAAGUCAACGAAGCCGCGCCGCGAGCCGAACCGAACCGCUCGGCUGCGCACACUUGUGGAUCCCAACGAUAAGUAUCAGCUGCCGUUGAUCGAGAAGGAGGUGCUCAGCCAUGAUACACGACGUUUCCGCUUUGGACUGCCCUCCAAGCAGCAUAUACUCGGCCUGCCCGUGGGCCAGCACAUUCAUCUGAUUGCAACGAUUGACAACGAGCUUGUCAUACGGCCGUACACGCCCAUCUCGUCUGACGAGGAUGUGGGCUAUGUGGACUUGGUUGUGAAGGUGUACUUUAAGGACACGCAUCCCAAAUUCCCAGCGGGCGGCAAAAUGACGCAGCAUUUGGAACAGAUGGAGCUGGGUGAAAAGAUAUCGUUCCGCGGACCAUCGGGUCGACUGCAAUACCUGGGCAACGGCACCUUCUCCAUUAAGAAACUGCGCAAAGAUCCACCCAAACAUGUGACCGCCAAGCAUGUCAACAUGAUAGCCGGCGGCACUGGCAUCACGCCCAUGCUGCAGCUGGUGCGCGAAGUGCUCAAGCGCAGUGACAAGGACAAGACCAAGCUGGCGCUGCUGUUCGCCAACCAGAGUGAAAAGGAUAUUUUGCUGCGUGACGAGCUAGAUGAACUGGCCAAGAAGCAUCCCGAUCAGUUUAAGGUCUGGUACACCGUGGACAAGGCGGCCGAAGCCUGGUUGUACAAUACCGGGCACAUCAACGAUGAGAUGAUGGGCGAGCAGCUUUAUCCGCCCGAUCCAGAGACGCUGUGUCUGCUUUGCGGACCACCGCCCAUGGUCAACUAUACCUGUAUACCGGGCCUCGAGCGACUGGGUCACCAUUCCGAGCAGCGUUUUAGCUAUUAAGUGUCUCACAGCUAGCAUCCGUAUAAUUUAAUCGCGAAUUUUGAUUUCAUAUCACAAUGCAGGGAAAAGGCUGGGCGUACAGUGUUGGAUUUAUCAAUGAUGAAAUGAUUGGAGCUCAUCUGCUGCCGGCCAACGAUGAGACGAUUGUCCUUCUCUGCGGCCCGCCGCCCAUGAUUAACUUUGCCUGCAAUCCAGCGUUAGACAAGCUUGGCUA